AGUGAACGCUGGCGGUAGGCCUAACACAUGCAAGUCGAACGGCAGCACAGGAGAGCUUGCUCUCUGGGUGGCGAGUGGCGGACGGGUGAGGAAUACAUCGGAGUCUACUCUGUCGUGGGGGAUAACGUAGGGAAACUUACGCUAAUACCGCAUACGACCUACGGGUGAAAGCAGGGGACCUUCGGGCCUUGCGCGAUUGAAUGAGCCGAUGUCUGAUUAGCUAGUUGGCGGGGUAAAGGCCCACCAAGGCGACGAUCCGUAGCUGGUCUGAGAGGAUGAUCAGCCACACUGGAACGGAGACACGGUCCAGACUCCGACGGGAGGCAGCAGUGGGGAAUAUUGGACAAUGGGCGCAAGCCUGAUCCAGCCAUACCGCGUGGGUGAAGAAGGCCUUCGGGUUGUAAAGCCCUUUUGUUGGGAAAGAAAUCCAGCUGGCUAAUACCCGGUUGGGAUGACGGUACCCAAAGAAUAAGCACCGGCUAACUUCGUGCCAGCCGCCGCAGUAA
rnacentral:rRNA from 1 species